UUUUUUUUUUAAGGUUUAAAUUCAUCGAAUGAUACUGAAGCAGAAAGUAGAAGACAGCAUCAUUCUAUCAUCAAAUGUGAAGUGUUAUUGUUAUAAUCUCUGGAAUUCCAUUAAAUAUGUGGGGAAAUGAGCUUUCACAAUAAAAAAUAAAGGAUUUAAAGGAUAGCGGGAAUGACAGAAAGAGAACUCCCCUGGUGAUGAACAACUGAAGAAAAAUCCAUCACUGAGGCACUCAAAGUUUGUAAUCCUUACAAGUGACCUUUCCAUGAACCCCAAUUUAAGGACAUCUUUAAAGGGAAGAGUGUGUGAUAUUCAUAAUUUCCAUGACUCAAUCUAGAAUUAUCUAAUAUAUGAAAAGCCAGGUGAAUGGCAAACACUCUCAGAAGAAAAGGAAAUGAACUCAACCCAGAUGAUCCUGAUAUUCAAAAUCUGCCCAGAGCUCUGUCCAGCCCUGGGACGACAACUUGUGAGGCAGAAGAAAGGAAAACCUUCCUGCAGAUCUUUGAAGAAGCCACUAGACAGGCUGAAGGACAACUACAGUCCUUCGAGAAGAGUCCACUUCCUCUGGCACCAGUGAAUGAACCAGGACUUCAGGGCCAUCCGAACCAUCCUCACUGUUCCUGCUAAUCUUGUGUUUGGGAGAUGACGGGCCAUUUAGAGCACACAGUUCAUUCUUACCACAGAGCGUCAGCUUCUUUCUCCAAGUCUUCCUCUGCCCAUUGCAAGUUUUGAAUAGAUUCUGGUGUUCCGAAAGUCAAUUCCAACACCUUUGCCAGCUCGUUCAUUACAGUUGGGGAGGAACAGAGCUCUAGAAUUAGCAUGCUUAACCCCUUACUCCUCUCUACCUGCAAAUAUACAAAAUAUGUAUUGAUCUGCUUAUUUAUUGCAUACCUUACCCAUCCAAAAAUGAAACCGCAUGUACUGAUUUUAUUUUGCUCAUCACCUGGCCCUGGCGGUAUAAUCAUGCAGACCCGGAAGAGAACAAAGCAGGAAAGUAAACAACAGAGGAUGAUCACUAAAAAAUCUAACACUAAACUUGGAGUAGUAGUCUGGGGGGAAUAUUCUUGUUAGGAUAUCACUCUCCUUUGUGUUGUAACAAAGUUUUCAAGCAGUUUUGCAAUUCCCUGGGGACUUACUAUUACAUCAGUUCAGGGAGAGGUGAAAGGGGGGAAAAAAAAAAAAAGGAGAGAGAGAGAGCGAGCUCGAGCUGCAGGAGGUAGACUGCUCCUUAAAGUCUUGUACCCAAGUGGUAUACAGUUCAGAAGUAGAGGUAGUGGAUUUUGGUGAGCUGAAAGCAAUUUCAUCUGCGGGAUAGUUAGACUCGGUUUCCUUCCAGGUCAUUAGUAAAGAAUGGUGGCUAAUUUUCUUAGGGAGAGUAGGUUGAAAGGAAAUCCAGGAAGAGAAGUUGCAUAUGGUGAGGUCUGGAAGCAGGUAAGAGUUUGGAAUGUUUCAAAACUGAAACAUGGCAUGACUAAAAGGAAGAGUAGUGAAAAUUGAUGUUGAAAAAGUAUGCAAGGACAGACCAAACAGGAUAUUUGUAUUUUUACAAAUAUAUUAUGUAUAACAUUUUUAUAUUAUAUAAUUAUAUUACAUAUCUUAUGUACAAAAUGUUUAAAAUUGUGUUCAUGUUUAAAUGAGAAGCUGCUUAAUAGAUAUUAACCAAACAGAGAGUGAAUUGAUUUUGCAUAUUUUAGGGCUCACUAACCCUGUAAACACAGAAUUAGCAUGAAGCUUAAUAUAUUCAUGGUCAAUUAGGAAACUUUGAC
rnacentral:lncRNA from 1 species